rnacentral:rRNA from 1 species
GGCCUAACACAUGCAAGUCGAACGGUAACAGGAAGCAGCUUGCUGCUUUGCUGACGAGUGGCGGACGGGUGAGUAAUGUCUGGGAAACUGCCUGAUGGAGGGGGAUAACUACUGGAAACGGUAGCUAAUACCGCAUAACGUCGCAAGACCAAAGAGGGGGACCUUCGGGCCUCUUGCCAUCGGAUGUGCCCAGAUGGGAUUAGCUAGUAGGUGGGGUAACGGCUCACCUAGGCGACGAUCCCUAGCUGGUCUGAGAGGAUGACCAGCCACACUGGAACUGAGACACGGUCCAGACUCCUACGGGAGGCAGCAGUGGGGAAUAUUGCACAAUGGGCGCAAGCCUGAUGCAGCCAUGCCGCGUGUAUGAAGAAGGCCUUCGGGUUGUAAAGUACUUUCAGCGGGGAGGAAGGGAGUAAAGUUAAUACCUUUGCUCAUUGACGUUACCCGCAGAAGAAGCACCGGCUAACUCCGUGCCAGCAGCCGCGGUAAUACGGAGGGUGCAAGCGUUAAUCGGAAUUACUGGGCGUAAAGCGCACGCAGGCGGUUUGUUAAGUCAGAUGUGAAAUCCCCGGGCUCAACCUGGGAACUGCAUCUGAUACUGGCAAGCUUGAGUCUCGUAGAGGGGGGUAGAAUUCCAGGUGUAGCGGUGAAAUGCGUAGAGAUCUGGAGGAAUACCGGUGGCGAAGGCGGCCCCCUGGACGAAGACUGACGCUCAGGUGCGAAAGCGUGGGGAGCAAACAGGAUUAGAUACCC